GCUAUGAGAAACCUACUAAGUGAUCUCUGCAAAGAGACACUCAUAUAGCAAUAUUAGGGAGAAUAAGCAACAGGAAACAUCUUACAGACUUUGUUCUUUGUCACCUUAUGCUCAGGGUACAGUAUAUGUAAGCUUUGUCCUUUUAUGCCCCCAACCUUGGUGGCUAGCUAAGGAUCUGCUGCAGGACGGAUUUGUGCUGCUUACUGUUUGGGUGGUGGCCUCCCUAUUCAGAUUAUCUCAUGAGGGAAGAAUUGCUGGAUGUGAAGUCACCACAGCCCUCCUUCUAUGCUAUUCACUCCAUGUUUUAAUAUGCUUAGAUAUGGGCUCUUUUUUUUUCUUACAGGGUUUGGGAGGGAAGCAGGGUGGUCCUCAUUAUCGGGUUGUCUACUUACUUUAUGAUGUCAAAUCAGUGCAAAUGAGGAGACAGGUUCCUGGCUAGGACUGAGGAGAACAGGUCCAAAGUUGUAGGCCUUCAUUAUCGAAGAAGAAUCAGUCUAUUCACGUGGUGUCAGUAAAUCAAAAAUCCUGUUUUGUAGGCCAGCUCUGUAUGUUGGCAUAGUAAGCACAUGAUCACAUCUGACAUUAUAUCCUUUCAAGGACAAGGAUGUGCACAGGAUCCAGUUACAUCCAGCCCACUGCCAUACCAAUCAGAGCCAGCUCCUGAGGCUGCAUCUCCUGGCUUCUGAACAAGGCAGGGGAGCAGGGGGAGCUUUGACUUCUUCCACUAAAGCCACGAGAUAAUGAUGAACGGUCUUCCUGCUGCCAGAGAGCAGCACAGGAGGCUGUGUUGCAACGGGUGUGCACAAAUCACCCACUAAGAAAUGUUGCUGAUCCCAGAGGAGAGAUUCAGAUCGGCAAAAUAUCCCAUUCUAGGAAAAUUGUCUCUUCAGUUCUGGGUUAUGAUGCACGAGUGUCUUUACUGCUUAGCUACAGGAAAAGCAGAUUUCUGCUGUGACAUUUUUAUUCAGCAUCAUGGCCAGCUGGAAAAAUCCAUUAUAGAGGCAGAAUUGUGGACCAGAUGGAAGUUUACCCUGACUUGGUAGGGCCACCUCUGUGUUACUGCAGUGAAACACAAAUAUCAGACUUCCAGAAUUUGGAGGUUUUUCUUCAUAAGGACAGACCAACAAAAUCAAAAUGUGAUUGAACUGAAACAUCAUGCAUAAUAUUAGUAUUAUGUAAAACAACUUUUUGAAACCAUAGCUAAGAAAAUGAAUGAAAAUAAAGUAUA